rnacentral:rRNA from 1 species
GUGGGGAAUCUUGCGCAAUGGGCGAAAGCCUGACGCAGCCAUGCCGCGUGAAUGAUGAAGGUCUUAGGAUUGUAAAAUUCCUUCACCCGGGACGAUAAUGACGGUACCCGGAGAAGAAGCCCCGGCUAACUUCGUGCCAGCAGCCGCGGUAAUACGAAGGGGGCUAGCGUUGCUCGGAAUUACUGGGCGUAAAGGGCGCGUAGGCGGACAGUUUAGUCAGAGGUGAAAGCCCAGGGCUCAACCUUGGAAUUGCCUUUGAUACUGGCUGUCUUGAGUACGGGAGAGGUGAGUGGAACUCCGAGUGUAGAGGUGAAAUUCGUAGAUAUUCGGAAGAACACCAGUGGCGAAGGCGACUCACUGGCCCGUUACUGACGCUGAGGCGCGAAAGCGUGGGGAGCAAACAGGAUUAGAUACCCGAGUAGUCC